GACGAACGCUGGCGGCGUGCCUAAUACAUGCAAGUCGAACGCAGUGGGGACGGGUGAGUAACACGUGGGUAACCUCCCAUCAGAGGGGAUAACACUUGGAAACAGGUGCUAAACCGCUACUGAUGGAUGGACCCGCGGUGCAUUAGCUAGUGGGUGAGGUAACGGCUCACCAAGGCCACGAUGCAUAGCUGAGCUGUGAGGGUGAUAGGCCGAACUGGGACUUAGACACGGCCGAGACUCCUACGGGAGGCAGCAGUAGGGAAUAUUCGGCAAUGGUCGAAAGGCGUACAGAGCAACGCCGCGGGAGUGAAGAAGGUGUUCGGAUCGUAACACUCUGUUGUUAGAUAAGCGGUAUCUAACCAGGAAGCCACGGCUAACUACGUGCCAGCAGCCGCGGUAAUAC
rnacentral:rRNA from 1 species